UCCGUGAUGCCAGUGCUUAGUCUGAAAAAUGGGAAUGAGAAUUGUUGUGAGGGUUAAAUGUGUUCACUGAAGCAGUGUGCAGAGUGGCUCCUCCUUAACGAUCAGCCGUGUUACUAUGCUUUUCAGAUAAGAUGUUUAUCUUUAUCUACUGGAAGUAUCGUUCAUGACGGGUGACCGUGGAUGCUAGAAAGGUGUUAAAGCAACUCUGUGGUUAGGAAACAAGCAAGGCGUAAUCAUAUACCUUCCAGUCUUUGGUCACAUCAAGAACUGAGCUACUUUCUUUUUAUAGCUGUAAUGUGUUUUUUUAGCUUAGGAUCCAUAAAUCCUGCUGGUUUUGGAUAGUGUAGGGCUGGCUUGCUGGAAGUCUAUGACCAGAUCUCACAUCAUUUCCUCUUGUUUCAAAGGUCACCUGAGUGGGAGGAUUGUGCUGGGCUUGCUUAAUAGUGCUCUGGGGACCAGGCUGUAACGUGAGUGGACUGGCUCCACUCCAGGAAGAAUGGAAAGAGAGUCUGGGAAACCUGGUGUCUCAAAGAAUCUGAAGUGGACUGAAUUUUAAAUCCUACUCAUCUUCCUACUCCAUUGCCUUAAUGUUGUUUGGGUUGGGGUGUGGUUUUAGAGCAGCAACUUAUCAAAAAUAUUGCAUUAGACCUCAAUCAUCUUUUCCUUUCUGGUGACUUAUUUCAUAAACUCUUAAAUCACCUGAAAAAAUGUGAAUCUUGACAUCCUUCUGAUACAAUUCUCCCAAAUAUUAAUAAUAAAAUGGGUGGUGGUGGGAGAGUGCAAGAGCUGCCAUUAUAAAUCCAGCCAGGUGGGAAAGGACGCCAUGAUUGACUGCCUGGCACCCAAGUGGAUCUUUUGGGAUUGCCAUCGUGUGCAAGGUGAAGCGAUUUCUCAAGACUUCCUAACAUUUAUCCCCAUAGAUCAGCGUGUGAGCCAUCAAUCCUGCGAAGGUUAAAAGGGACAUUACUCAAAAAGUGGCAUGGAGAGGCAGCGUUUCAAGAGGCUGUUAUGUCAUUGGGUUUAAAGCUUUAAAGGGGAGAGGAGAUAGUUAUUUUAAAGUUGAUACCAAUUGCUUCCCCUGUUGUUCCCCCCAAGGGUUUUAUAAUUAUGGAUCCAAAUUCAUCUGCUGGAUCCUCUUUUUCAUUUCCCAAUUUUUACAAAUGAUUCUAUAAU